AAAGAAAAGAAGCCCACCCCGAACGGCACAAAAUAGGAAAAAAGAAAACCCACCCCAUCUUCCCCAUCUUGUCGUCGACCCACCACAUCCGGCACCCCGCUGCCGGCCACCUCCCGGCGCCCCGGCUUCUUGACCCGCCGCCAGCCACCUCCGGCGCCCCAACUUCUUGACCCGCCGCCAGCCACCUCACCAUGCCCCUGAUUCUUUCCCUGCCACCUCCCCGCGGCCCGACUUCUUUCCCGCCUCCGGCCUCCUCCUCGCGCCCCGGCUUCUUCCCGGCCGUCGGCCUCCUCCUCGCGCCCCAGCUUCUUCCCCGCCGCCGGCCUCCUCCUCUUGCCCCGACUUCUUCCCCGUUGCCGGCCUCCUCCUCGCGCCCCAGCUUCUUCCCCUCCGUUGGCCUUCUCGUCGCGUCCCGGCUUCUUCCCCGCCGGAGCGGCCAACCACAAGAUCCGGUCGCCACAUCCCCAUGACGCCCCCAGCAACGGCGCCCGGACCUCGACACCACCCGGCUCGGGGGACUCCAAGCCCCGGCGCUGCCGACCCCUGCACUACCUCAUCCGGCGACGAUCCACGCCAUCACUCUGCCUCGUUCCGGUGGGGGAUCCAUGGCCACUACGCCAGUCCAAUACCACCGCCGCAAGCCGGCCACAUCCACAAUGACCAGACCGGCUGCCCCGCGCCUCAGCCCCCCGUAUGCACGCCACCAAGUGCCUCUGUGCACUACCCCCGCCUCCCCCAUCAGGUUGCAGCCCGAGCCACACGGUGCCGCAUCUUGUUGAGAUCACUGCCUUGCCGUGGUUCCAGCGGUACACAGGAGGAUGGAUGCCCUGGUGCCGUACGCCCAGGUUUUGAUGCGAUGCUCUUCUGCUCAUGACGCUGGAGCCCUAGUGCCCCACUACACAUGAAACGAGAGACAUGUACAGAAGUUCACCUAAAAAAAGGCUAGCAGUUCUUCCCAAAGAGACAACAGUUCUAAGAAAAGAAGGUAGAAAAAAAGGGUAGCUCAACGUACAAAAAAUUGGAGGUUUAGAGACCACAAACAAAGACGAAAACAAUUUCAGUGGCACAAUCAGUUUAGUUUCUAUUUUUAGUUCAGUUCAAUUAUUAUUUUUAGUUUCGUUCAGUUCAAUAUUGUCAAUGAACUGAUAUACAUACAAAUAAGAAAUUAUAUUCAUUUAUUUGGUACAGACUUAGUUAUUAGUUUUGGAGACCAGAAUAUCAGUUCAGUUAUUUUAUCAUUUUGUACCGAUUCCACUCAUUGUAUGAACUGGUGCAUCACCAUGGAAGUAAAAAAGAAAGGAAACAUCAGUCCAGCUACUAGACAUGGAUGUGAUUUUCUAUGUAAAUAUCUAGCGGGAGCUGCAGCUGGUGAGCGUCUGUGCCCUGCUGAUUGCGUGCAAGUACGAUGAGAUUUGGGCUCCAGAGGGAUGGCAAUUUUUCCCAUGGGUAUGGGUACCCGUGGGUACCCUACCCGAAAACAAUGAGAAUGGGCAAGACUUGAAGAGAUUUUCUACCCACGGGUAAUGGGUACCCAUAUCCACAAAAUGUAUGGGUAGGGCAUGGGUAAGAAAUUGUGCCCAUGGGUAACCCAAUGGAUACCCAGAAAAAAAUAACAAAUGAAAAUAAUUCCUAUAACAUGUGGGGUUAACAUCCAACUCAUAUGGUCUAACCCUAAAUCUUGUAUUCCUUAAACAAGUCAUAGCUCAUAGGCUCAUAAUCACCUGCUUGCCACUCCUCAUACGUCCUAUGUGACUCCUCAAAAAUAUGAAAUAUCGACUCUUCGCUACCAGACUCUUGUCGAACACUCGAUCCAGCGAUCCCCAAUUCCCACCACCGCCUUCCACUACGUCGGCCUUCCACCAACCGCUGCUCAUACUCCCCUGAUGCCUCCAAGAGGCCACCCACUGGAGGAGGCCACAUACGUGCUAUAGUUCUCUACCAUGAUCACUUGAAUUUUGAACUCAUUUCUCUACCUCUUAAGAAUUUGAAUGCUAUAUAUUGUACCCAAUGGAUACCCAUUGGGUAUAGGAUACCCGAUGGGUAUGGGCAUGGGUGUCAGUUUAUACCCAUGGGUAUUGAAGUGGGUGGGUAUAAAAAAUUUCUAUGGGUAUGGGUUUGGGUAGAAGGAGGUUGUACCCGCCCAUACCCUACCCAUUGCCAUCCCUAUUUGUGCGCCAACCUGCAGGUGAAUGACUUCAAAUUGUUCUCCGACAACACAUAUACAGGGAGCAGAUUCUGAGGAUGGAGAAGGCAAUCCUGAACAUGCUUGAGUGGAACUUGACAGUGCCCACACCUUACGUCUUCCUUGUCCGAUUCGCCAAGGCCGCGUCCUCCUGAGAUAAGAAGAACGGCAAGGAGUAUGGACAGGAACAAUGCGUUGAUGUCGAGCAAAACACAGAGACAAGGUUAGAAAGUUCAACAUGUGAUUGGAAUUCAGUGCAAAAGCUGCAGGUGCGAGAUGGCGGCCGCCGACGUUGCUAAAUCCUUCUACAAACUAGUGGUUGGCUGCUUCGAGCGGUAAAUGUGGUCGGAUUCAGCAGCUAGCUCUUCCUCGAGCAACCAUUUGGAGAAUUUUAUUGUCUUCUUGUGGUGGUGAUUGAUUUUAGGAUCAGUAAAUUUGACAUUGGUAGCUAGCUUGCGUAUGGAACCUGCAAGUUCAAUAUUGGUAUUAGAUUUAGUUUCUUGUUGUACAAAUGUCCCAGUUCAGCUACAGAAAUCAUGCAGGUUUAGUGAUGAUGAUACCAUAAGUUCGGACAAGAAAAUUUAUGUAUAUGAUGAGAUGAUUGCUACUUCUUCAAAGAAGGUAUUGU
rnacentral:rRNA from 1 species